rnacentral:tRNA from 1 species
UGCGGGCGUGUAGCUCAGUGGUACAGCGCUGGCUUAGCAUGCACAGGGCCUUAGGUUUGAUCCCUAGCACCGUAA